CAGAAGCCUGAGGCAGGAGGAUCGCUUGAAUCCAGGAGUUCAAAGCUGCAGUGAACUGUGAUUGUGCCAUUGCACUCCAGCCUGGGCACCAGAGCGAGACCCUGUCUCUUAAAAAAAAAGAAGAAGAAGAAACAUGUAUGAGAUAGAGCGCUGCAAAUCUGGUUCCAACUUUCUCUGUGAUUUUGCUGGAAUUUGUUCAACACUGAGCUCACAGACAGCAGUGAACCAAAACUUGUUUUCUUUGGACUGCUUUGAGCAAAAAUAGAAGAAAGGGGCUCAUUUUUUUCCAGUGAUUUUUUAUUUUUCAUCAAUAGUGCAGAUCCAAAUUUACAGGAACAUAACAUUUGAUGCCAAUGAAAUUCAUUAGAAUUCUGCGCUAUCCUGUGAACUGCGUGCCCAUCUGUCUUGUAUGUGUUUCCAGGGGUGGCUUACAAUGGUCUUCGCCAUGUACUGGAUGGACGUGUACUUAUUAUGAAUCCUCACACCCUGAGACCCAAGAGGAUCCCUCGUAAAACAAGGCCAUAUCUGAUUUGGAUUAAAAUCCCCACGGAGAACCUGAUGUCACCCAGGAAAGUGCACGUCUCCUUGCGUGCUCUUGAGAAACGGUUGAGAAAACAGUCCUUCCAGCUCAGUAAAUACCAUUUUCUUUCUGUCUGCUCACCACCCUUGCAUUUGCAAUAAACCUGACAAAAACUUCCAGAGCGAAAAUAAGAAUGUUCAUAUUUGAAGGAGAUGUUGGCAGACGGCCACAGACUUCAAGUACGCAAGCUCAUUCCGCUCUUGCUUUUCUGCCAAUAACUCCUUGGCCUCCGCGCACUCUGCACAGGCGGGGCCUGAGGACGGAUCAUGAUCGUGUCCGAUGAUCACGGACCCGCCGGAGACUCUCAAUGGAGAGGCGAUGAGUCACAGCCAAGCGAACUUUCUCUGCUCCUGAACAAAUUGCUUCUCCUCGUCGUCCCACUCCAAACCUAGAGGUGGGACAACCCCAGCAUCCUGGGCGUGAACGCACCCAGCUUGAUUGUCACAUGGGGAAUAGAGACCUCGCGCCUGCCUGGCAUAGGCCAACCCAGUAAUGUUCAUUUAAAGCUGGCUUUACUAGUCCUUCUUCCACAAUGAGAGGUGACCCUUCACUUCACCGAGAAAGGAAGGAAGAAAGCAUAAUAUUUCAUCGCGUGAAGAGGCCAUGAUUUCUCCGUUCCGCUGAGGAUCGAUUGAGCUGUUUCCAGUUUGGGGCGCGAUGAACAAUGCCGCAGUGAGGAUUCUUGUCAGUGCUGGCGUAUCUCAUGAUAGGUUUGGAAAUAAAUUCUGAUGGGAAUUAAAACUGGUGUAACCUCUAUAAAGGGCCAUUUAGCAAGAACUGUCAAAAUGUAAAAAACAUGCGCCCUUCUGGGAAUUACUUCUACAGAUCUGCCCGAACAUGCAAAAUGUCUCAUGCACCAGGUUCUUCUUUGCAGCAUUUGUUUGCAAAAGCUGAGGUGUAGCAACAACCUAAAUAUCCAUCAAUAAAUAUUUAUCCAUCCAUAGACUAGAAUACCAGGCAGCCACCAGAAGGAAUGAGAAAGCUCGGUACCAGCAGGACCUCCAAGUUAAGUAAAAAAGCAAGAUGCUGAACAGUACAUAUAGUUCUCCACCAUGUAGAUUAAAAAGGGACGGAAUACAUUUGCUUGUAUUUGCAUAAAAUAUCUAUGAGUAUAGUCAAGAAAUAGAUAAUAUGAUCUAUGUAUGCGGGAUGCGGGGAAGGAAGAUGUUUCCGUGUAUAUUCCUUGGUAAUCGUUGAAUUUUAAGCCAUAUGAAUGCAUUGUCUACUCAAAAACUCAAUUUAUUGUGAAAAGACUAAAAACCACUGAACUGUACACAUUAAAAUUCUAUGGUAUGUGAUUUAGAUCUCAGUGAAAAAUAUAUAUUGAGGAUGGGCGAGGUGGCUCAUGCCUGUAAUCCCAGCAUUUUGGAAGUCUGAGGCAGGUGGAUCACUUGAAGUCAGGAGUUUGAGACCAGCCUGGCCAACAUGGUGAAACCCCGUCUCUACUAAAAAUACAAAAAUUAGCUGGGCGUGGUGGCGAGUGCCUGUAAUCCCAGCUACUCAGGAGGCUGAGGCAGGAGAAUCGCUUGAGCCUGGGAGGAGCCAGAGGUUGCAGUGAGCCCAGAUCACACCACUGCACUCCAGCCUGGGCAGCAGAGCGAGACUGUCUCAAUAAACAACAACAAAAAAAAUUACAUUUAAAAAAACUUAGGCUAUGGGGCCCAGCGUGGAGGCUCACACAUGUAAUUCCAACAUUUUGGGAAGCUAAUGCCGGAGAAUCGCUUAAGCCCAGGAGUUCAGGACCAGCUUGAGCAACAGUGAGAUUCCAUCUGUAUAUUAAAAAAAAAAAAAAAAAAAUUAGCCAGGCAUGGUGUUGCUCACCUGUAGUCCCAGCUGCUCAGGAGGCUGAGGUGAGAGGAUCACUUGAGCCUGGGAGUUCGAGGCUGAGGUGAGAGGAUCACUUGAGCCUGGGAGUUGGAGGCUGAAGUGAGCCAUGAGGGCGCCACUACACUCCAGCCUGGGUGACAGAGUGAGAGCCUGUCUUUAAAAAACAUAUAAUAAUAAUAAUAAUUAAUAAUUAAACAAAUAAUAAGGCUUAGACUAAGAGGGAAGGCAGAGCACACUCAGGUGCAUUCGGCCUUCUGGAUGCUACCAGGGAAUGCCAGACCUCCGGGAGAAACAAGAACCCACGUGUUCUCAAGGCGCCCAGCCCAGCCCAACCUGUGGCCCUCCAGAAACUGUCGUGGUCAUCCUCCAUUCACCUGUCUGUUCAUUCAUCAACUCACCCUUCAGAUAGCUGCAGAGGACCUAUGAUCACCAGGAAUCUCCCCAUGAGCAAACUAUGGGGCACUGGGAAGACGGUGGCCACAGUUAGAGGUGGGAGCCGCACAGGCAGAUGGAACCGCAGUGGCCGCAAGCCCUGGAGGAUCUUCGGCCGUCCGUGCUGGCUUGGAAGCCCUCCUGGGUUUCUUUACACGGACUUAGGGCUUUGGGGACUCUGGCUGGGGUGACCUCGACCUGUGCCGAGCCUCCAAAGAUUCCUGUAGGCGCUGCACCCCGAGCGGAGACUGCAGCUCGGCCUCCCUGCGUCUGCACUGCCUCCCCUGCUGCAGGGGUGUCCCCAAGGGCCUGGGCCGUGCUCCUCCUACCGCAGCUCCUGGUCCUGGCGCCUCCUCCAUCCAGAGACACAAGUGGCCCCUACGACUCCAGCACCAGACCUGAUCUCAAGCACCAGGCAAUACUCAUUAAAUCAAAAUGUGCUAGAACCGGAAGGAAUAAAUCUCACUGUGAUGGAUUCCUGGGGUUCCAACAACCCCUCAGCAACCAGUAUAUUAAUUCUAAUAAAAUGUUCUAAAAUUCAGUAAAAUGCAAGGAAUCCCAUUUUCCAGGAAGGCAUAUAAAGGCUCAGGCAUAUGUAAGGCACAGAGGGAGUGACGGCCAACCUGGGAAUUAGACUAAGGUUUCUUUCCUCUCUGUGCCUUGAUAGAGAAUCCACCUCAGUUCCAGAACUUGCAUCAGAAACAGGGUCCUCUUCCCACACCCCACUUCUCGGGGAGGGCUCAAGCCGCAUCUGCCUCUGGAAGCAGAUAUCCGUGACUAUUAUGACUCCUUGGAAGGCAGCCAGGCAUGAGCCUGUGGCUUACAUUCCUUAAUGCUCAAGCACAUUCCUUCGUGUUCAAGUAUACGUGUGGUUGGCUCGAGCACAGAAGCACAGAGCUGAGCAAAAUAUUCAGCGCCUUUUUCAGAGAACCCUGGCUGGUGCUGGUGGAUGUUCCUGCCCCUUCCUCCACCAUGAACAUUUUUAAAAAUUAAGGUGAGUCUGGGCACAGUAGCUCAUGCCUGUAAUCCCAGCACUUUAGGAGGCUGAGAUGGGAAGAUCCCUUGAGCCCAGAAGUUUGAGACCAGCCUGGGCAACACAGUGAGACCCCAUCUCUACAAAAACUAAAAAAUUAGCCAGGCAGGGCAUCGUGUGCCUGUAGCCCCAGCUACUCAGCAGUCUGAGGUAGGAGGAUCACUUGAG
rnacentral:lncRNA from 1 species